GCCAAAUGAGGUGGUGUGCCUGUAGUCCCAGCUACUUUGGAGGCUGAGGUGGGAGGAUCGUUUGAGUCCAGGAGUUCUGGGCUGUAGUGCACUAUGCCGAUCAGGUGUCCACACUAAGUUCGGCAUCAAUAUGGUGACCUCCCUGAAGCGGGGGACCACCAGGUUGCCUAAGGAGGGGUGAACCAGCCCAGGUUGGAAACAGAGCAGGUUAAAACUCCCAUGCUGAUCAGUAGUGGGAUCACCCCUGUGAAUAGCCACUGCACUCCAGCCUGGGCAACAUAGUGAGACCCCAUCUCUA
ensembl:misc_RNA Metazoa_SRP Metazoan signal recognition particle RNA